rnacentral:rRNA from 1 species
GGAAGGGGAUGAAUUACCGAGUUGAUUCGGGCUCCGGCCCGAUCCUCCCACCCUUUGUGUACCUACCUCUGUUGCUUUGGCGGGCCGCGGUCCUCCGCGGCCGGCCCCCCCUCCCCGGGGGGUGGCCAGCGCCCGCCAGAGGACCAUCAAACUCCAGUCAGUAAACGAUGCAGUCUGAAAAACAUUUAAUAAACUAAAACUUUCAACAACGGAUCUCUUGGUUCUGGCAUCGAUGAAGAACGCAGCGAAAUGCGAUAAGUAAUGUGAAUUGCAGAAUUCAGUGAAUCAUCGAAUCUUUGAACGCACAUUGCGCCCUUUGGUAUUCCGAAGGGCAUGCCUGUUCGAGCGUCAUUACAACCCUCAAGCUCUGCUUGGUAUUGGGCACCGUCCUUUGCGGGCGCGCCUCAAAGACCUCGGCGGUGGCGUCUUGCCUCAAGCGUAGUAGAACAUACAUCUCGCUUCGGAGCGCAGGGCGUCGCCCGCCGGACGAACCUUCUGAACUUUUCUCAAGGUUGACCUCGGAUCAGUGGCA